UCAUAUGACACGUUCGCACAUAAAAUAUCAAAUUGCUAGAGAUGAUGUAGAAACAUCAGAAUAUUUGCCGCAAAAUGUUUCAGAUUUCAAAAUGUAAUAAAGCCAGAAGCCACAUUUUGGAGGAAAGCAUACCAAGUGUGUUUAUUGAUCUCUGCUUACUUUAUUUUAUCAAUAGGCCUUACAUUUUAUAAUCCAUGGCUGUAUAAUACGUAUGGAUUUAAUUUUUCACUUGGAGUAGUAGUUUGCCAUUUGAUUAUAAAGUUUAUACUAUCCGCAUUAAUACGCUGCAUCAGAAGAUGUUGCACUGGCAGACGGAUAAAUUUACCAUGGCAAAAUAUAAUUUAUUCGUUAAUGAUAUCUGGCAUGGACAGCGGUGUGAAUAUUGGUUUAUCCAAUUGGGCACUUUCAUUAAUUUCAAUAUCUUUUUUAAUUUCUUCAUAAGGUCACCAUGACCAAAUCAACCACCAUUAUAUUUAUUCUUGGAUUUUCUUUUCUCUUUAAACUGGAGAAAAAGUCAUGGUCUCUAGUAGGGAUAGUGGUGAUGAUAGCAGGAGGAUUAGCAAUGUUCACCUAUAAAUCUACCCAAUUUGGUAUUCUCGGAUUUUUAUUGUGUCUCUUAGCUUUGUUUGCAAGUGGUAUUCGAUGAACCAUGACACAACUCAUUAUGCAAAGAUCCAAACUCGGUCUCCACGAUCCGAUAGAUAUGAUGUAUUAUAUGCAACCUUGGAUGUUAUUACCUGCAAUAUCUGUAACCGUGUGGUAUAAGUAUUAUCUUAUCUUACCAUGUAUUAAAACAGAAUGUUAUUUGUUUUCGUUGUAAAAGUGAAUGCAGAAACGUUCCAGAUAUUAUUUAUCUUAUUACAAUUUUAAUCACAAUAAAACUCAAUUACCGUGCAUUAAAAUCUUUUGAUGAUUUUAUUUGUUAAAAUUUUAUAAUUAGUUUGACAUCUUUCUCAUAUAAGUGCAAUAAAAAAUUUUUGUUAAACACUUAA